rnacentral:rRNA from 1 species
AUUGAACGCUGGCGGCAGGCCUAACACAUGCAAGUCGAGCGAGCGGCGGACGGGGGAGUAAUGUAUGGGGACUGCCCGCUAGAGGGGGAUAACUACUGGAAACGGUAGCUAAUACCGCAUACUAUCGGAUAACCCAUAUGGGAUUAGCUAUUAGGUGGGGUAAUGGCUCACCUAGGCGACGCUCCCUAGCUGGUCUCAGAGGAUGAUCAGCCAGACUGGAACGGAGACACGGCCCAGACUCCUACGGAGGCAGCAGUGGGGAAUAUUGCACAAUGGGCGCAAGCCUGAUGCAGCCAUGCCGCGUGUAUGAAGAAGGCCCUAGGGUUGUAAAGUACUUUCAGCGGGGAGGCGUUACCCGCAGAAGAAGCACCGGCUAACUCCGUGCCAGCAGCCGCGGUAAUUC